CUAACGGUAGGCUAGCUAGCUAGCUAACGGAACCGAACCGGACCUGUCAUAUUAGCUAACAGUUGUUAGCUUGGUUGCCGUCACCGGCAUUUCUUUUAUAAAUCACUAGAUAAGUUGUACAGACUAAAGUAACGUUAACAUUAUACCAUCCACAGCGUUAUACUGAUAGCUUUCACAUCUUUUUUGACCGGGAAUAAGGAACAAGCGGAGACGUUUAUACUUCUCCGUUUAGAAAAACAGCAGCUGUUUACCGGGGGAAGGACACCGCGGCCAACGGAUAUCGGUGAGAAGCUACACUAUUGUUUAAUGUUCAGAAGUAAUAGCCGUGUAACCUGCUUUUUAUUCACACAGGCUUAUUUUGGAGAAGAUGGGGAUCGGAGGGUCACCCACACCCAGGCCAAGAAGAAGUGGGACGAUCUGAAGACCAAGUACAAGCCUACCGGGCACAUGUCCCUGAAGAGGAGGUUUAAGGCUGAACAUUUACCACUUCUCAUCAACACUAAAGUCAGUAGGCUGAAAGGAAAGUUUGACCAUGCAAAGACAUUCCAGACUAGCGAGGGAUCUGCAUGCUUGUUGUACUGCUGAGUCAUAGUUCUGCACAACCAAUACAGCAAUACACCACCUGACAUCCUGACUGUUAAGGACCGAAAGAAGCAAACAUUUCCUCUGAGGCAUCUGGAAAUUGCAGAAGGAAUUGCUUUUAACAACGAGUGGAG
rnacentral:lncRNA from 1 species